UAGUCACAUAUUCUUGUAGGCAAAAUAGACAAACAGAUUUAUCACUUAACAUCUACUACUCAUCUCCAUGUGGAAUAUAACCUUUCUUAUCAUCAUUCAAGAAUAUGGCUUUGAGGGACUAUGUGAGCAAUCAGUGUUUUUUUUAGCAUGGGGCAGCAUUUAAUGCAGAAAAUUCGUGUGUAGAGGAAGCCCACAGAAUGGGUUUCUUCUUCACUGAUCUGAAAGUGGAGUGUGAUACAGGGAAACAGAGCUGUAGGAUUUUAUACACUCCCUCCUGUUUUCUUCUCAUCUGAUGACCAUUGAGGAAAAGGUUUACCUGACAUUUCAAUUUCAAGUGGAGAGAGCUAGCUCUUCAAUGAUCAAGAUGUGAGCUCUCAGCUGCAGCUCCAGAUGCCUGUCACUACACCUUUUCUCUGCCAUCACACACUCUAAGCCUCUGGAACCAUAAGCCAAUUAAACUCGUUCUUUUUGAA